AGGGAUUUGAGAAGAUUGUAGGGGGUCUGUGUAGGGCUGGCGUCCCCCCAGCCCCAAACCUUAUGGAGUUCGCGCGCUUCAAAGCGCCUGCCAUGGUUAUUCCCCGGGGAUCUGAUCUCUAAGCCCAAAUGUGCGGAAUGAACCUGCGCUGAGCCUUUCCUAUUCUCGCCUUUUGCCCUUGGGCUUCAAGACCUGCGCAGAAAUGAGUUGUAAAUCAAAGAAGCAGAAGCCUCCUUAGCAACGCCUGGAGAAGGACUCCUGAUAACACACACACACACACUAGUUCCUGAGAACUUUAGAAGAUAUGCCACACCAAACAAGGUCCUCCCUCCAAGCUGUGUACCAAGAGUGGUGCCUCUGGGAACGCUUCAGACAGGUUGUCCAAGCAGUGUCCUCUCCUCGGGUAUUUCCAUCUGGACAGUUCCUACCCCACUCUUCAAGACCUGUCUUGAUGACGUGCUAGAACAGUGGUUCUCAACUGUCGUGACCCCCUUAGGAUCCCAUAAUGUACAUGGAAGCAGAAUGUUGGAUACAUAAUAAUAAUAAAGAAAAAAAGAACCACUGCCCUGGAGAAUGAAGUCCUGAAGUGUAGAGAGACCCCAAGGAACGUGAGAGGGUCGGAUGGAUUCAGAAGGGGUGGGAGUGUGGAUAAAUGGAUGCUAAAACGGAGGCAUGCAGGGCCAGCAUAUCUGCCUCCUGGGAGUAGCACAUAGGAGACUUAGCUGUAUGGUUUGUUUUUUUGUUUUUGUAUUUUUUUUUUUAAAAAGGCACAAUAAUGGGGGCACUCCAGAGCAGUUGCUGGGAUUCCAUGAGGUCCCAUAGACAGUGCCCUUGACAGCUCGAAUGGGUCCACAGUCAAUGGGCCUUAAAUUCCAGCUACAAUCAAGUCACUUCUGAAAGCUGACUGAGCCAACUAAAUAUCCUCGGCGAACAAACCCAAGGUCAGGUGUAAGCCUCAGAGUGUCGGGCCUGCCUGCAGCGAAGUAUUUUAAAAAGCACAGCAAGCCAGACGUGGUGGCUCAGGCCUGCAAGUCCAGCGAUUGGGUCUCGAAAGCAGGAGAGGACUUGCCCCGAGUUCAAGGCCAGCCCGAGCUUCAUAAUGAGAAAUCAAAGCAAAUGAGGAGCCCACAGGCAAGGAAACUGAGGUAUCCUGUUCAAACCUGCGCCACCCUGCUGCAGCAAAGAUCGAGUCCACCUGACCCUAUGGUCCUGGUUCAACUCUACUACACAAGUGGCCUCCUGUGCCCCUCUCUAGUCUAGUUCCUGCCCCCCCCAAUAAAACUCCAGUGUUCCCUGGGCAGAUCCAUCAAAGGCCUCUUCAAAAUGACACACAUAAAUGGAGUGUGAUGGCUCACACCUGGAAUCCCAGAUGUUGAAACAGGAGGAUUGCUGUGCCGCCUUUGACGUCAGGUUUAUGGCACCGCUGCGUCUGCGUCCCGCGGAGAGGAACCAGUUCCGAGCCUCGUAAAGGGGGUCGAGGCCUGAAGAGCCUCUGCCUCCGUCGCCUUGGAAACGGGGCGCAUCCUCCGCGGAGGGAGAGGCGGGUGAGACCGGCCUCAGGUCACCGGACGCUCCCGCUGAGCGCUCUGCAUAUCUCCUCCAGCUCCUGCGGGUGGUCCCUGCCCCCCUGCCGCCCUUCUCCGCCCCUCUCCCCAAGCGCCUUUGAGAGUCACCUCCUCCAGGAAGCCUUCAGACACUGCCACCUGCAAGGGGCUGGGGUUGGGGGUGGUCACAGCUCGCUGUGAACCUUGACCUCAAGCGUAGCACCAGGAUGCCCUUUGCAACUGUUAUUUUUUGUCCUCAUACGAAUUCCUCGAAUGAACUAAGGACCAGCCGGGGAAAAAAAAAUCACCUGGCCUCAGUUUCCCCAUCAGAUUUCCUAAGUUCGAUGCCUGGAAUUGUGCAAACACAAAAUAAAUAAGGGCCUGG
ensembl:lncRNA